AGGACGAACGCUGGCGGCGUGCUUAACACAUGCAAGUCGAGCGAUGAAGCUCCUUCGGGAGUGGAUUAGCGGCGGACGGGUGAGUAACACGUGGGUAACCUGCCUCAUAGAGGGGAAUAGCCUUUCGAAAGGAAGAUUAAUACCGCAUAAGAUUGUAGUACCGCAUGGUACAGCAAUUAAAGGAGUAAUCCGCUAUGAGAUGGACCCGCGUCGCAUUAGCUAGUUGGUGAGGUAACGGCUCACCAAGGCGACGAUGCGUAGCCGACCUGAGAGGGUGAUCGGCCACAUUGGGACUGAGACACGGCCCAGACUCCUACGGGAGGCAGCAGUGGGGAAUAUUGCACAAUGGGGGAAACCCUGAAUGCAGCAACGCCGCGUGAGUGAUGACGGCCUUCGGGUUGUAAAACUCUGUCUUUGGGGACGAUAAUGACGGUACCCAAGGAGGAAGCCACGGCUAACUACGUGCCAGCCGCCGC
rnacentral:rRNA from 1 species